UACGUAGGGUGCAAGCGUUGUCCGGAAUUAUUGGGCGUAAAGGGCUCGUAGGCGGCCAACUAAGUCGGACGUGAAAUCCCUCAGCUUAACUGGGGAACUGCGUCUGAUACUGGAUGGCUUGGAUUCGGGAGAGGAAUGCGGAAUUCCAGGUGUAGCGGUGAAAUGCGUAGAUAUCAAGUAGAACACCAGUGGCGAAGGCGAGUCCCUGGAAAACUCCUGACACUGAGGCACGAAAGCUAGGGGAGCAAACAGG
rnacentral:rRNA from 1 species